UCCGUCAACAUCUGGAGGAGGAGGGGGCAGAUCGAUCAGUUGUGAAACAUAUUAUGUGAAACUUAUUUCCUUCUUAAAUAUGAUACCAUGGUAUAUUUUAAAAUUUUACGCCCAGAAGCAUGUCAAGUUCACUUCUGGAACAGUUGUGUUGCUUAUUCUCACACUGAUCUUCUACAGCUAUCUGAAAUGGUUCCUGGCAGUAUGGUCAUUUGUGGUUGGCAUGGCAGUGACCUAUGUGUGUGUCAGUCCCAACACACUGCUGCCAAACCUGUUGCCUAUGUACAGCAGGAAGAAAAAGCUGUCCUCCCAGUCUGACGAGCUGACUCUCAUGAAGACAGUGUGUACUGUCUGCGGUCAGAGGAAGUGCCCCAGACACAGACCUGAGCUGAAUAUUCUGGCUUUUCAACCAUGGACCAACCUUGAGAUACGACAGAAAAUUGAUCAGUCCUUGGAAGAGUUUUUCAGUAUUAUUUUCAAGGAGUUUGUCUACACAUGGUAUAAGGACCUCAGCACAGAUGAGGAGUUUGCAGAUGAACUGCGGAGCAACAUCAGAUUUAUUGCAGCUGUGUUUCUACGCAGAGCUAAGAAGAUUGAUAUUCCUAACCUUGUAAUCCAUAAACUGGUGAAGGCAGCGAUAGAACACCUAGACUGCUGUAUACGGGCCAAGGUACAUGCUGAAGGUUCCACUGACUUUCAGCAGUGUGUGAUUGACUACCUGGGGCAAGACACUCACGUAGCAAUGUGGAGUCGUAAAGCAGAACUCGAGUAUCUCAGAAGAAUGGCAGAGAGUCUCUUCCCCUAUAUCCUCAGACCCCAGGCCCUGCACUCUAAAAGUACCUGUGCGCUGUUGAGGGAGAUGCUGGCAGGCUCAGUGCUGUUGCCUGCAGUAGAUGCUGUUGCUAACCCAGACCUGGUAAACAACUUGAUUCUCAUCUUCCUGGAUAAUACUCCUCCCCCUGUAGCCAAGGAGCCUCCAUCUCCCAUGGUGCCUUAUCUUGAGGCUUUUGCUCAGCCCCUCAACCAGAACAAAUCUUGUCUGCGCCUGGAGCUGAAGGAGGUUAUCAACAAGGACACCCCCGAGUUGCUGUACCCGUUCAUGCAGUUCCUCAAAAGCGAGGCAGCAGUCAAUGUUCUACAGUUCUGUCUAGCUUGUGAUGACUUCAAUGAGCGUAUCCUGAGUCCCAGUGUUUCCCAGAGUGAGUUAGUAGAGCUGCACAACAUGGCCAAGGAUCUCUACAACAGCUACUGUGCUCCCACUGCCUUGGAUAGGAUCAAGUUUGAUGAACAAAUUGUCAAAGAACUUGAAGGAGUCAUUAAAGGUCCUCCUGAUGGGGUGGUCAAACUGCGGACAUCCACACCACUCUUCAAGGCGUAUGAGCAUGCUUACAACCUGCUGGAAAACAACUUCCUUCCCUUGUUCCACCAGAGUGAUGACUAUUACCGCAUGGUGUGUGGAGGUCGGCCUGGAGCUCUCAGCAGGAACCAGUCAAGUAUGUUACCCCCCAGCUGUGCCCCAGCCCCAAGACAGGCAAAAAAGAAAGAAUUUGGACUCUCACACUUUGGCAAUAAACUGAAGGAGGUCUUCAAAACCUCAUCAGAGGACAAGACGGGAAGCAUGGACAGCCUCGACGACCUUGACCUUCCACCAGCUAUGACUUCAGCCACCAAUGUGGAUGAGGAGAUGGAUGACCCACUGGACCUACCAGACCCUCCCAAACAUGACCUGAGCACCUGGCGGGUCACUGUCCCUCGGAUCGGUGCUCGCCCAGACCCAGACAACCCUAAGAAACAGUUCUUUGUAUUCAUCAUUGAUGUCAGACGUGUUGAUGUACCGGAAGGUGUGUCUGAGAGGUCCAACUGGAUUGUAGCAAGACGCUACACAGAGUUCUAUGUGCUGGAGCAAAAGCUGGUAGAAUUCCAUGGAGAAUUUGACUGCCAGCUGCCUCCCAAAAAGACAUUUGGUACUAAAAACCAGGAAUUCAUUGAGGGAAGGAGAGAAGUCUUUGAGCUGUAUGUGCAGAAGCUACUGACAAAACCGCACCUUAAGGGGAGUGAACUGUUGAAGAGAUUUCUGUCUUCAGACAAGGAGGAGUUUACCACAGGCCUCUUCACUGACAUUAACUUAGGCAAACUUGUCAAGGCAAUGCCAAUGAAACUUGUCAAAGAGAGAGGUCAGCACCUUGACCCUUUCCUCCAGGCAUUUUUCCAGUCAACUGAGGCACCUCGUCCUCGGCCCAGUAAACUGGAAAGGAGAGGAUCUGAUGCUUCACAGAGGUCCACAUCCAGUGAGAAGAUGUACUCCUCCCUGUACGAGAACAACGCAGGGUGUGGCUUCAGCGGGAUGACACCCUCCACCGCAGCACCACCCAUUGUCACCAGGGAGGUGGAGGGUGUAUUUGAUUCCCUCAUCUAUGUGGCACGUCAUGUGUACAAGGUGCCAGCAUGGUUCCACCAUAUUUUGAUGACCAUAAAAAUUGUGGGCAAGAACACCAUUGAGUCUUACAUGGAGUGGUACCUGGACAACAAGAUCGAGAAGCUGAAGCAAGAACAUCGCGUUGUGAGCCUCAUACACCUGCUCAGAGACACCUUAUUCUAUGACACAGAUCCUCCAAGGAUUGUGAGCAUAUGCAGGAAGUACCAAUACCAAACCCACUUGUUCAUGAUUUGGACUUGUCUGACAUUGCCAAGGUCGGAUUCUAUUCAGGGAAUCAUCAUUGUUAAAAUGCAGGACUGAGGCCCAGAAGCGAGCUCGGUACAAGGAGGUAGUGGCUGGGAGUAUUGACUACAUUCCAAAAGCAUUUGCUGCAGUAAUUGGCACCAAGAGCCAUGUAGAAGGGACCAAGUUUAUACUGGAGUGUCUCCAACAACCCAAGCUCA
rnacentral:misc_RNA from 1 species